rnacentral:misc_RNA from 1 species
UCUUCUUCUUCUGUUGUUGCUGCUACUUUAUAGUUGACCCGAGUAUAUGAAGUGCGUCAAAAUCGUUGGGGGUUGCUGGUUCGCUUGUUAUGUUGUUGGUAGUGGGUUUGGCCAAAGAACAAAAAGAGAUGGGUAGUUGGGUGUUUCAGGGAGGAGGGUAGCCAAGUAUCUUAAGCCACAACCAAGGCCACCCAUUGUUCCACAACUAUGGCCGUAGCCUCUACCUCCUCCACCUUUGCAUCUAUCAUACCUAAUGCCAAGAUAUAAAAAUUGAUGGUAAAGGUUAUGAAUUUCUUGUUAGAUGCCCAAUUGACAGUUAAUUGGGAUUUUCAUGUUUUUAAUUGAUAUUAGUUGUUUUACAUUGUGAUACCCAUAAUCUGUUUGAUGGAAGGUCUGAGAGAAGAGAGAAGCAGAGAGAGUAAAUUGGGUUUUUUUUUU